rnacentral:rRNA from 1 species
CGUGAGUGGCGGACGGGUGAGUAACGCGUGGGUAACCUGCCUCAUACAGGGGGAUAACAGUUAGAAAUGACUGCUAAUGCCGCAUAAGGCCACAGUACCGCAUGGUACAGGGGUAAAAACUCCGGUGGUAUGAGAUGGACCCGCGUCUGAUUAGGUAGUUGGUGGGGUAACGGCCUACCAAGCCGACGAUCAGUAGCCGACCUGAGAGGGUGACCGGCCACAUUGGGACUGAGACACGGCCCAA